CGGGACGGGUGAGUAACGCGUGGGUAACCUGCCUCAUACAGGGGGAUAACAGUUAGAAAUGGCUGCUAAUACCGCAUAAGCGCACAGGACCGCAUGGUCUGGCGUGAAAAACUCCGGUGGUAUGAGAUGGACCCGCGUCUGAUUAGCUAGUUGGAGGGGUAACGGCCCACCAAGGCGACGAUCAGUAGCCGGCCUGAGAGGGUGAACGGCCACAUUGGGACUGAGACACGGCCCAG
rnacentral:rRNA from 1 species